rnacentral:rRNA from 1 species
GACGAACGCUGGCGGCGUGCUUAACACAUGCAAGUCGAACGGAAAGGCCCUGCUUUUGUGGGGUGCUCGAGUGGCGAACGGGUGAGUAACACGUGAGUAACCUGCCCUUGACUUUGGGAUAACUUCAGGAAACUGGGGCUAAUACCGGAUAGGAGCUCCUGCUGCAUGGUGGGGGUUGGAAAGUUUCGGCGGUUGGGGAUGGACUCGCGGCUUAUGAGCUUGUUGGUGGGGUAGUGGCUUACCAAGGCUUUGACGGGUAGCCGGCCUGAGAGGGUGACCGGCCACAUUGGGACUGAGAUACGGCCCAGACUCCUACGGGAGGCAGCAGUGGGGAAUAUUACACAAUGGGCGGAAGCCUGAUGCAGCAACGCCGCGUGCGGGAUGACGGCCUUCGGGUUGUAAACCGCUUUCGCCUGUGACGAAGCGUGAGUGACGGUAAUGGGUAAAGAAGCACCGGCUAACUACGUG